rnacentral:rRNA from 1 species
UACGUAGGGGGCUAGCGUUGUCCGGAUUUAUUGGGCGUAAAGCGCGUGUAGGCGGCCAGGUAGGUCCGUUGUGAAAACUCGAGGCUCAACCUCGAGACGUCGGUGGAAACCGUUUGGCUAGAGUCCGGAAGAGGAGAGUGGAAUUCCCGGUGUAGCGGUGAAAUGCGCAGAUAUCGGGAAGAACACCCGUGGCGAGGGCGGCUCUCUGGGACGGUACUGACGCUGAGACGCGAAAGCGUGGGGAGCGAACAGG